CAGCGUUACAUAGCAAAGGUAAAAUGGGAAAAGUGAGGAGAACAAGGCAAUUAUGAAGAAAAUACAGUAGGAUCCUUUUCCUAUAUCUAAGUCCGAAAAUGAAGAAAUGUUCCUCUUUUGUUCAGCCAACCAAGUGAAAAUUCCUGAGGGGAUUCACAUAUCAGAGGAGGUCACUCAUGGUUGUUCCCACGUCCAUCCCUCACUGUGUUUCCAUCUUUCAGCCAAAGAUUUCAGUCCUCCAAGUUCUGCUCAAGGCUAAGAACGAAUUGUGUGGAAACCACUGAAUAACAAACUAGUGGACAUUGGGUGGCUUCUUUGCUUCCCAGCAAUGGAAAGGAUGCAAUCCUAAAUAUUUGGAGAAAAAAGAGAACCCACCCCUUCACCCUGCAAGUACAAAUUCCAAAGAAGUUAAAAAAGAAAUUAGUUCAGUAAAAAAAUACCUCCUCAGUCUGACCACCUUUCACUUUCCUGGUCCCUUCAUUUUCUCAGUUGUUCAUAGAGCUUUCCUGAUUGUACAAGGCUUUGAUUUCCCUAGAAAAAGUGAGCAAAACCUUUUUGCCUCCCAUACGACUUUAAUAAUAAAUCUGUCAUACUCCGCCUGAUGCAUCAUAAAGAAAUGACAAAAAAAAAAUUACAACCCGUUCAGCAGAUAUUGGCAGCGCUGGCAUGAAUUCAUUUUGCCCAUGGGUGGACAACUGAGUAACAUAAAACCAGAGUUUAUAUAUGCUCCUGACAAUAGCUGAAGGCUCUCCUGGCACAGCCUGAAGGUUCAUGACCCAUAAAUAUUUCUCUCCUGGCAAUUGCAAUCUCAGCCUCCUGCUACAGCAGAACUUGUAAAAGCUGUAGACAGUCUAUUGCUCUCCUGGGACUUACAGGCUCCCCUUGCAGAUUUUAUGAGUAUCAGUCACAGGCAUUAUCUUGUAAGACUUACAGGUUACCAGCUGGUCUGGUGUGUAAAAGCGCUGGAGACAGUAAAUGCCAUGAAUUUUAACUAUUUCUGUUCAUGGGAUAGGCAAGAAAAUUAGAUUUUCAUCCUGUAGAACUCAAAGUUUCUGUUAACAGGGCAAAGAUCUGAUCUGACUGUCACCAGGCACAUCUAAAACCAGAUUUAGCAACCCAACAGUGGUUCUCACAGUGCUUCAGACCUCUUAGAGACGUUUCUGGGAGAGCCGACAGUGUUCUCAGGACUCUGGGAGGUGAUCAGACACGUGCUCCUGGCAAGACACGGCUUCCCUUAGUGGUACAGACACCAACACCCCAGGUUAAUGGAAGAAGACAAUGUAAAGAAAACCUGCCUUUUUUAUAGAUCAGUCCAUUUAUCUCAGAUUGGUUGGUAGAGCUUUUUAAACACCCAUCUGUUGGAAAGCGAACAAACCUGUCAAUAUGGGGAGCUUACUACUCCACAUUUUUGGUGUCUUUCCUUUUGGGUCUGUUCCUUGCAUUUGGUCUUGGCAGAUUGAGGCUGCAGAGACAUCUGUGACUUCAGUGUAUUUAUACAUAGGAAAUAAAAGUCUUUGAGCUCAAUUUCUCCAUAUGCCUCUUUCAGCUUUCUAUUAUUAGAAAGCAAACAUCUUGGAUGGGUUGCCAGCUAGCUAUAUGCAGGGCUGCCAAUUGUCCCUAUUUCAUAUUCUAGGUUGCAGAUAUUUUCAGGCUUGUCUUUUGGUAUCUUUAGAAUCUGCCUGGUGGAAAAAGAAACAAAAAAAAAGAAGAAAAAAGAAAAGAGAAAAAAAAAAGAAGAAAAAAGUCAUAAUUUCACUAUUGGCUUAUAAGAAUGAGUCAUUAAAUUUGAUAAAACACAUGGAGAGCAUUUGUCAGUAGAUCUCUGAUUCACCUCUUGUCCUAGCUCCUUUCAAGGGAAGACUAAGAACAUUUUCAUGCUCCUGACAUUAGAAAAUGUGGUUUCUUCCUAAGUUUGCCAGGAAAAUAAAUGAGAUGCUGGUGUGUCCCCCACCCUGCACCCCCAAAAGUAGUGUUCUGCCCCGUAUGCACAAAGAGGAAAAUGAGAGUUUGGGCAGGGGAAUCUGGCAUCUCGGAAGACUUUCACAAUUCAUACCUCCCGUUCGUAUCCAAACCCAGCCUGCUCCUCUAGCUCCCUCUCAGAAGAGAAGGCACCAUGUAGCCACAGGACCAACACUCCCCAAAAG